UGGCUCUCGCAUCGAUGAAGAACGCAGCGAAAUGCGAUAAGUAAUGUGAAUUGCAGAAUUCAGUGAAUCAUCGAAUCUUUGAACGCACCUUGCGCUCCUUGGUAUUCCGAGGAGCAUGCCUGUUUGAGUGUCUUGAAGUCAUCAACCCCUCCCGGUUUUGCACUGGGUGGUUGGGUUGGAGAUGAGGGCUUGCUGCCUGUGAAAGGGCGGCUCCCUUCAAAUGCAUCGGUUGGACCUGUGGGUCGAACUCGACUGGGCGUUGUACCAUCCUCGCUCGACAGAGACGUUCCCCGUUUGGUGUCCUUCCACGACCUUUGCCUGUGGAGUGGCGGUCAACACAACUUUGCAAUCUGACCUCAAAUCAGGUAGGACUACCCGCUGA
rnacentral:misc_RNA from 1 species